UACGUAGGGGGCAAGCGUUGUCCGGAUUUAUUGGGCGUAAAGAGCGUGUAGGCGGCCAGACAGGUCCGUUGUGAAAACUGGAGGCUUAACCUCCAGACGUCGAUGGAAACCGUCUGGCUAGAGUCCGGAAGAGGAGAGUGGAAUUCCUGGUGUAGCGGUGAAAUGCGCAGAUAUCAGGAAGAACACCCGUGGCGAAAGCGGCUCUCUGGGACGGUACUGACGCUGAGACGCGAAAGCGUGGGGAGCGAACAGG
rnacentral:rRNA from 1 species